GGAGAUAUAGCUCAGUUGGUAGAGUGCUUGUCUCACAUGCAAAAGGCCCUGGGCCCUGGGUUUAAUCCCCAGCACCA
rnacentral:tRNA from 1 species